rnacentral:rRNA from 1 species
UACAGAGGUCUCAAGCGUUGUUCGGAUUCAUUGGGCGUAAAGGGUGCGUAGGCGGCGCGGUAAGUCGGGUGUGAAAUCUUGGAGCUUAACUCCGAAACUGCAUUCGAUACUGCCGUGCUUGAGGACUGGAGAGGAGACUGGAAUUUACGGUGUAGCGGUGAAAUGCGUAGAUAUCUGGAGGAACACCGGUGGCGAAGGCGGCAUUCUGGACCAUUACUGACGCUGAUCCGCGAAAGCUAGGGGAGCAAACGGG